AACUUGCAUUCUGGAGGAUCUAUGCAGCUUAUCUUCCUCUCUUCAUCAUGGCAACUCUUAUCAUGAAGGCAACGUUUAUCUUGUCCAUUGUUUCCUCAGCAAACCUGAAAAGCUUCCAUCUCCACUCCUUCUUGAACAACAAAACUCCAAUAACACCCCAAAACCCUGUCACAAAACCACUCAUUAUGUCCACGUAAAACAACCAUUCGUUCUCCAGCUCAUCAACUGCUUCGUGUUUCUUUUGGCGCGUUGUUGUUGGGUCUUCAUGAACGGAGCAAUUAUUUGGCAAUGGAGCUCCACAUAGAUCUUUGUUUCCUGUAUAUAUUGAUGGAUCAUCCAGGGUCUGCAACUGAUUUCCUGUUGGAAUGGGUCCCGACAAGUUGUUGUGUGACAAAUUCAAAUGGCUCAAAAAAGUCAAAGCUGCCAUGCUUGCAGGGAUCAUCCCGGUCAACUUGUUUCCAGAUAAAUCGAGAGAAAACAACUUCUUCAUGUUUCCAAUGUUAUAUGGAAUACUCCCACUGAGAUGAUUAUUAGACAGGUUGAGACCCAUCAACAUGGCAAGUGCUGUUAGCUUGAUCGGUAUUUCUCCUGAAAGUUUAUUGCUUGAAAGGUCCAUGUUAAAAAGUAGAUCCCACGUUUUUGUGUAUUCACGAUCAACACCAUUCAGGACUUGAAUCACAUUAUCUGCAGAUCGCCGAUAGUCUAGGCCAGUAUUACCAGAUAGCAUGGCAUAUAACUCUCCUAGACAAUCAGGUAUGCUUCCCAUCAAGUUGUUGUAUGCAACAUCCAAAAUCUGAAGAUUUGAAGAUUUGCACAAAGAUUGUGGAAUUCGACCAGUGAAGUUAUUUUUGUGUAACCUUAAAACCAUUAAAUUUGUAAGGCUUUCUCCAUUCCACUCAGGUAUACUUCCACAAAAUAUAUUAUUACCCAAAUCCAAGACUUCUAGGUUUUGUAAAUUCCACAAUUCUGAAGGAGGUUCACCAGUAAAGUUAUUGCCAUUCAAUUUUAACCGGUAUAAUGAUGAACAAAGACCUAAGGAACUCGGAACGACACCAGAAAGGUGAUUUGAACUAAAUAUCAUGGUAUGCAACUCUUGAAGAUUCCCAAGGCAUUUGGGAAUUUUCCCGGUUAACCUAUUUCUGGAAAGAUCAAGAUAUUCCAAAUGCGUCCUUCUACAUAAUGACUUUGGAAUCGACCCAAUGAAAAGGUUGUUUUCCAGGAACAGUGACCUUCGAAUGGAUGCAGUGAAAAUGUCAUUUUUCAUGACUUGUGACCUUGGAAUUGACUCGGUGAAAAGGUAAUUUUCCAGGAACAUUGACAUGUAAUCAUAUCUAUUUACAUUAACAUUUCCACCGUUGGGAAGGUUUGUCAAUGGUCCUUUGAGUUUGUUGUGAGAAAGAUCCAAGAAAGGAAUGAUGGGCAUCUUCUGCAACCAUGUGGGCAGAGGUCCCGAAAUUGUAGUAUUAGACAAUGCUAAUCUUGCAAGUUUCCUUUGGUAUCGAAGCCACUGUGGAAAUUCAUUUCCAAUAUUGCAAGAACUAAGUUGAAGAGAAACCAACUGAAAUGAAGGUAUCCACUCACGUGAAACAUUGAACGCCAACCUAAUGUUGGAAGAAAUAUCCAAUUGCUUCAACAUUGAAAGGUUGGCAAAGUGGUCUUCAAAAACUACUCCUUCUAAAGAAUUGCUAGACAAAUCUAGGUAUUGGAGUUUAGCAAGUUGCCCAAUUGAAACAGGAAUAGUCCCAUUUAACAUAUUUGAAGACAGCCAAAUUGCUUGUACUGUAACAAGUCCACCCAAGGAUGCUGGGAUGGGACCUGUUAACUGAUUGGAUCUCAAAUUCAAAUAUAUCAAAGCUGGUAGUUUUCCAAAGGAUUCUGGAAUUGAACCACUCAGUUCAUUAAAGGAAAGGAUGAUUUCUUGUAAUGAAACAAGUCUUCCUAGAGAUGCUGGGAUGGGACCUGUUAACCGAUUGAAAUGUAGAUCCAAAUAUGUUAGAGCUGAUAGAUUUCCAAAGGAUUCUGGAAUUGAACCAUUUAACAUAUUUGAAAACAACAUAACUUGUUGUAAUGAAACAAGCCUUCCUAAUGAUGUUGGGAUGGGGCCUGUUAACCGAUUGAAACGUAGAUCCAAAUAUGUUAGAGCUGAUAGAUUUCCAAAGGAUUCUGGAAUUGAACCAUUCAGUUGAUUAAAAGAAAGUUGGAGUGUGGUAAGAUUCCCAAUGAAUGUUGGAAUGGGACCGGUUAGCGCGUUAUAAGAUAGAUCUAGUACUUCUAAAAAUAUUAAUUUUCUUAAAGAUUUGGGGAUUGGACCUGUCAACCCGUUGAACGAUAGAUCUAUCUCUCUUAAAUUCGCUAGUCUUCCAACUGCUUCUGGAAUUCUACCAUGCAAACUCAUCACUAUUUCCAACCUCUCCAAAGCGUAUUCUGAGCAUUCCGAUCCAUUUUUUGAUGUGUCGCUAAUUUCUAUAGUAAAAUAAUUGUUUGACACACUAAAUUUUUUUAGGUGACAGUGUCUCCAGAUUCCAACAUGCUCAAACUGCUUAAACUUGUUGGAAGAAAGAUCAAGCUCCAGAAGGUUAGGCAUAUUAGAAUCCAAUGAAGUCAGCGAGUUUUCUGAAAGGUCAAGGACUCUUAGGGAACUCAUGUUUUUUAAAUAAGAUGGAAAUACGCCUCCAAUUGAAUUGGAGCUAAGAUCUAGGUGUCGGAUGUUAGAAAGGGUACUGGAAUUAAGAUAAGGGGGAGAUAGAAGCGUGUUAUGGAGCCCACAACGUGACAAAUGCAGCUCUGAUAACGAGGGGAUCGUGUUUAGCAAGCUUGCAAAGUUCCAUGUCAAACUAAGAUCAAAGCCUGAAAGAUCCAGGAAUGCAAGGGAUUUCAAAUUUUGAAAAAAGCCAGGGAGUGGACCUUCGAAAAAAUUCAAGCCAAGAUCGAGGAAUACAAGGGAUGUCAUGUUUAGAAAAAAUCCAGGGAGUGGACCUUUGAAAUAAUUUCUGCUAAGAUCGAGGUACUUGAUAUUGGAAAGUAUCCUACUUGAAUUUAGAAAAGGAGCAAAAUCAGCAUUGGAGAGUCCACAUCCUGACAAACUUAACUCUUUUAACAAUGGUAUCAUGGAAAGCGACAUGCCCCUGUUUUUUGCUCCACCAAGAUCCACGUUACUCAAGUCAAGAUGCUCGAGUGACGAAAGGCGAAAAGUCCAUGCCAUAUCAUCUGCCUUCAACCCAUCAUUUGAACUGAGAUCAAGAACCUUUAGAUUAGAAAGAUUUCCAAUGUGAUGAGAAAUAAUACCUUGAAAACCAGCAUGAGAGAGAUUGAGGUAGGUCAAGUGUUUGAAGGAUCCAAUGAACUUAGGGAUCCGGCUUCCUCCAAAAUCAUUCCCACUCAAGUCCAGGUAACUGAGAUGACUCAGCUCCGCCAAAGAAAAGCUCAUUCCAUCACCAACUAAGUAGUACAUAACUCCCACGAUGUCUCCUCUCAUGUCUCCUUUGAGAUGAAGGCUUUUAAUGUUUCCGGUGACAUUGUCGCAGUGGACUCUUUCCCACAUGCAACAAUCAUUGCCAACCCAUGAUAACAACAUUCCAUAAUAAUCUAUGACACUCUCUUUGAACUUGAGAAGAGCAAGUCGCUCUUGCUCAAUGCAAACAAUGCUAGUAUUUUCAACACCCAAACAAGAACAAGUGUUUGCAACCAAGAAAAUACUCACGAAAAUGAGAUGAAGCCCCAAACCCCUAUGAUUCCCCAUUAUCAACCCAAACUCGCUUUUAUUUAGAAAAUAAAAAAUUGAAGUGGAAAUAUAAGUUGUUAUCAAGAACUCAUGUGUUUUUAUGAUCAAGAAACUAGUUCGUUUAUACAGCCAUAAAUAAAGAACAACUUGUUAUCAUGGAAGACUUGGAAGUCAAUGGAGAACUUGUAUCCACAACUUUAGAUUCUUGUGGUCCUUUUGGCUAUUUUUUUUUUCUUUUUAUCAAAGCAAGUGGCUUAUCCCCCCGUAACAGAUGCAGUUGUAUUUCGCCACAAUUCCUUAACAAAAUAUGAAUUGAAUAAAACACAGUAAUUGACAAACAGGCAUUCACACUCUGAAAAUCCACGAUAAUUUAUAAAAUUCUAUUGUAAAUUAAGAAAAUCGGUUUUGAUGUUUGAUAAUUUUCAAAACCAACUACAAGAAUAUAAGGUUUUAUUAUUAUUAUUUGUGUAAAAGAUAGUUAUAAAUUUCAAUUCAUUUACCUGGAAACGACUCAAAUUUCAUUUCCAAGGUAAAAUCUAAAAGCUUGGCUAAAUAUGAAUUGCUAGAUAGUUUGAACAAACUGUUAACCUACCCAAGGUUUAGAGUUCAUGUAUUAUUUUUAUUAUUGCUUUUUGACAUUACUGGUAUGAGAGCUUGGAUUCCCUACAUUGGAGUCCACUGUCUUCAUAAGUAACCCAUGUGAUCAAGCAACUCAUUUCCAUUGAAGACUUGGAAGUCGAGGGACAAUUUGUAUCCACAAACAUGUAAAUCAAAAUUAUAAAUUAUUAAAUUAAUUUUGCUGUUUAAUAGUUUACAAAAUUAGCUACGAUACAAUAAUUAUUUGUUGUUGUUUGACUUAGCAGGUUUGAUGUGUUGAGCCUAGUAGAAGAAAAUUCCUAUAAUUUUGAAUUCAAUAAUUCAUCAUAUCUUUAAUAAAAAUAAACACGUACACUCUUACAAAAUGCAUUAUAGUUUUAUUAAUUGUUAGAAGUGACGUUUCCAAAAUAAUAACUUGGAAAUAGAUUAGAUUUUAUAUCAAGUCUAACAGGUAAGACUUGCCCAAAGUGUCAAGCUAAUGCNUAUAUAUAUUAUCAUUUUAAUAUAUGCAAGUUGAAUGAAAAAACACCUUCAACUUCAAGAUUACUAGUGAAUUUGUUCAGAGGCAAAAGAUACAUAAGAGAUAUUUUUCCACAUGGUAGACCUCACAUAUGACUUUGAAGUCAACACAGUAGCCCCAAAACUUAUUGUCAUGGAAGACUUGGAGGUGUAUACACAAUUUAUUUCCACAAAAUUGUAUUAUUUUGGUCAUGAGAUAUUUUUCCUUUUUCUCUUGAUCAAUAUAUACCAAACAUAAUUAGUUGGGGUAAAUAUACAAAAAACACUUUUUUUAUACAGAAAUUCGAUUUUGACACCGUGUUAUUUUUUGUGUCAAUUUUGACACUGUGUUUUCUAAUUUUUUACAAUUUUGACCACCUGAUUGGUUAACCAGGUUAAAUGCUGAUGUGGCAUGAUGACGUGUCAGUUUUAAUGACAUGGCAUGCUGACAUGUCAAAAUUGAAUUUUUUUCUCACAAAAAAUACCAAGUUUUCAUUUUUUUCGAUUUUGACACUAAGUUUAAUUUUUUUUCUUUCAACUUUGACACUAUGUUUUUUUGUUCUAAAUCGAACAUCAUUUUUUCCAAUUUUGUUCAAUGUUGAUAAUUUUCUAUUUGAAACCAUAUAAAUAUUUUUUUAAUACAUUUAAAUCGUAUAAAUAUGUUUUUUUUUCAUUUAAAAACCAUAGUUUUGUAUAAAUACAUUUUUUUACACUCAAACCAUAUUUUUAUAUAUAAAUAUGUAUUAGUUAUAUAAAAAUUGUAUUUUACAUAUGCAACUUUAAAUUGUGUUUGGAGAUUUGCAGGCGUGUAAUCGAUCAAAACUCAGAUAUCAAGUUUGCAACCCAUUAAAUUUUUACAUCUUAUUAGAAGAUUAUGGUUAGUUUGAUUCUCAUGAUAUAACUAAUGCUUUGAAUGUAAGAAAAAAACACCUUGUAUUUAAAUAAAAAUGUGGUUUUUAAACGAAAAAAUAUGUUUAUACGGUUUAAAAUGUAAUAAAAAAAAUAUAUUUAUACGGUUCCAAAUGGAAAAUAAAUAAAAUUAAACAAAAUUUGAUAAAUGAUGUUCGAUUGGAAUAAAAAAAAACAUAGUGUCAAAAUUGAAAUAAAAAAUUAAACUUAGUGUCAAAAUCAAAAAAAGUGAAAACUUAGUGUUUUUUAUGGAAAAAAAAUCAAUUUUGAUACGUCAGCAUAUCAUGUCAGCAUGCCACAUCAUUAAAAAUGACACGUCAUCAUGCCACGUCAGCAUGUAACCUGGUUAACCGGUCAAGUGAUCAGAAUUGUAACAAAUUGAAAAACACAGUGUCAAAAGUGACACAAAAAAAAACACGGUGUCAAAAUCGAAUUUCUGUGUAAAAAAAUGUUUUUUGUGCCAUUUACCCUAAUUAGUUGACCACAAGUUUUCAACAAAAUAUGAAUUAAUAAAUCAAAGUAUGUGACAAACAAUCAUUUACAUUUUUAAGAAAUCAAAGAUGAUUUAUAAAUUUUUGUAGAUGAUAGUUAUGAAUUAUAACCUUGAUUUUGAUAUGUAAUUAUAAAUGUGCAAUAAUACAUAACAAGAGGUCUAUUUGCUUUCAUGGUAGACCUUACAGAUGACUUUGAAGUCACCAAAGUAGGCCCCAAAGUUGAAGUAUCUGUUUUAUCUUUAUUUUGACUCUUGGGUUCCAUAAAUUACAUGCAAUAUUCGGUUUAUCUUUUUUUUUUCUUUUAUAAAUUUUUUAAACUGUGGUAUAUACAAGACAUCAUGUUUCUUAAAUCACAACUAAGGUUCACACAAAGAGAUGGCUAUUUGCAUUGUAAACAUAAAUAUAAUUAUAAACAAAAACCUACAAAAUGAGAAUGUUCCGGUUACCUAAAAACUUGUGUAUUACAUUAAGAGGUGGCUAUUUGCAUUGUUUUCACUUGAUAUGACAGACACAAAUUAAAUUUGUUGCUACAGCUAAAAUUUGUGCACACAUUUUUAUCAAUAAGAAUGUUUAAAGGCAUUCCAAUAUAAAAUCUACUUUAUUUUCAGAAACACACUUAAUAGAGGUACUGAUUUCAGGUUCUUUACCACAUCUAUAGUUAUUAAAUGUGAGCAAAAGCUCGCUGCAUCCUGGAAGGCUGUAACUCACGUAUUUAAUUUUUUUUAAUGCAUUUUAGUUGAAACUAAGGCAUAACUCAUAUAUUUAAUUUUGUUAAUUCAUUUUAGUUGAAACUAAGGGGAAAUCUAAUGCAUACAAGAUGCAACAUCUGUGUUGACAUUUGCAGAAAGUUGAUUACAUGAUAUUAAAGUUUUCAUCUUUUUCUUUCAAAAAUGACACUUCAUUUCAUGGAACCUUUUGGGCUUCAAAACACAGCUAUAAUGGUGUUUACUAAUCGAAAAUUAUUUUAAAGGUAAUGCUUAGUCAAAAUGACAAAAUCAUCAACCAACAAAUUUAUGUAAUGGAUCAUAGGAGAAGANNNNUAUAUAUAUAUAUUCUGAGUGUCGUUAUAUGCCACUAGAACUCUAUAUUUAUAUUAAUCAAUCAUUAACUCCCCAGAAAUUUAUACAUGGCCAAAGGUGGAUUAAUCAAUAUGUUAUGAUGUGAUAUAUAAUAUUCUCAGUGUCAUUGAUUAACAUUAUAAAUUCCCAAAAUUGACGAAAUUAGGUCACCAAACACAAUUUCAACUCAACUUUCUCUUAAUUUACUUGUACACCUGAAUUC
rnacentral:lncRNA from 1 species